rnacentral:lncRNA from 1 species
AAACAGUUGCUUACACUUGACUCUAUCUACUGCUACUGAAUAAUGUGCAGGGAGUACAACCAAUAGAUGGUUGCUGAACAGAGAGAUAUUGUGAAGAAAGCAAUAUAGUCCAUGCAGUGAGUUUCUCAGUGCUCAGGAUUUGCAGAUUUGCAAGAUAUACAUUUGCUAACCAUAUUGAUCGAUGCUAUGAAGCUGUUUUUCCAUCUAAAUAGUAUCAAUUUUGUUAGUUAAAGGUGCUAAGUUGGGCAUAUUUAGAGUAUUCAGUCAAAUUGCAGGGAUUGAUUUGGUAGAAAGAUUCUCCUACUGUCUUUGAUUAAAUGAUGUAAUGUUGAAACUCUUAGCUGGACAAGAGUAGUGGGAAAGUAAUUCGAUCUUUGCAUAUAAUUCUGUGAUUUCUUGUGGAGAAAAAAAGAAAAUGAUGUAAUGGUCUUUUAUUAGGGUCAGGUGAAUUGAAGUGUUAUACCAACGAGUUAGUAUUUUUUUUAUCUCGGGUUCAAUGAUGAUGAGUGAACUACGUACAUGAUCCACCUUUUGAUUUUUUUUGUAUGGCUUUGUUAUUUUUUGUUAGACUUGUAGGCUAAACUUCCACAGUGAAGUGUUUUUGUAAA